GAGAUAUCUGUAUUUUUGCAUGGGCUGCAUCUCAAUCCACCACAUCCGCCAACGUCGGCUGUCCACAUCUGUGGUGGAAGGUGGCAGAGCUACCAGCAGUGUUUGUUAGACCAGGAGACAUCCCCAAAAAUCGGUCUUCUCGUGAAAAGGCCUGUAGUGUUCGCACGGAAAGCUGAGACUCUCACAAAUGCGUUGGUGUUUUGCGUUGGUGUUUUGCUCUACGACCCCCCCCCCCCCUGCUUGCUAAGGUCAGGGUUAGAGCUAGGGUUAAUAGAUAGUUAUUUGAAAUGUUACUGGUCGUCUUUGUCGAGCCAAAUAAAGGGAACUGGACACUUCUGGAGAAAGGAGAGAUUAUUGGAACGCAGGCCUUGUGAGACUGUAGCACUGAAACACUGCUCAUCAGCGCCCUCUAGUGGGGGAAACAUCCACAUCGACUAUUAUACUGAAAUAUAUUUUUGUACAUUGUUGUUGUUGGACAUUACACAAAGACGAUUACUUUCAAAGGAAUAAUUUAUAUAUAUAUAUAUAUAUAACUCUGUGUAUAUUCAAAUAUCGCUGUCUAUAUCAUA
rnacentral:lncRNA from 13 species